AAUCCCGUGAACCAUCGAGUCUUUGAACGCAAGUUGCGCCCGAAGCAUCCGGGCCGAGGGCACGCCUGCCUGGGCGUCACGCAUCGUGUCGCCCCCCCCGCCCCGCCCGCUCCGGGCGGGGCGCGGGGGCGGAGACUGGCCUCCCGUGCGCCUCCGUCGCGCGGCCGGCCC
rnacentral:rRNA from 1 species